AUUGAACGCUGGCGGCAGGCCUAACACAUGCAAGUCGAACGAGCGGCGGACGGGUGAGUAAUGUCUGGGAAACUGCCUGAUGGAGGGGGAUAACUACUGGCAACGGUAGAUAAUACCGCAUACCAUCAGAUGAACCCAUAGGGGAUUAGCUUGUAGGUGAGGUAACGGCUCACCAAGGCGACGAUCCCUAGCUGGUCUGAGAGGAUGAUCAGCCACACUGGGACUGAGCAACGGCCCAGACUCCUACGGGAGGCAGCAGUGGGGAAUAUUGCACAAUGGGCGCAAGCCUGAUGCAGCCAUGCCGCGUGUAUGAAGAAGGCCUUCGGGUUGUAAAGUACUUUCAGUCGGGAGGCGUUACCGACAGAAGAAGCACCGGCUAACGCCGUGCCAGCAGCCGCGGUAAUUC
rnacentral:rRNA from 1 species